AUCCAGAUGACGAGUCCCAAACAGGACGAAAUGUGCAUCCUGGAU
rfam:Trichobilharzia regenti genome assembly, scaffold: TRE_scaffold0003312